rnacentral:rRNA from 1 species
AACGAACGCUGGCGGCGUGGAUAAGACAUGCAAGUCGAACGGGACAACCUCUGUAGCAAUACAGGUGUUGUUUAGUGGCGAACGGGUGCGUAACACGUGGGGAAUCUGCCGAGAAGUGGGGGAUAGCUCGCCGAAAGGCGAAUUAAUACCGCAUGUGAUCAGGGAAGACAUCUUUCCGACAUCAAAGCCGGGGCAACCUGGCGCUUCUUGAUGACCCCGCGGCCUAUCAGCUAGUUGGUGAGGUAACGGCUCACCAAGGCAUUGACGGGUAGCUGGUCUGAGAGGACGACCAGUCACACUGGAACUGAGACACGGUCCAGACACCUACGGGUGGCAG